GUGCAUAACACAUGCAAGUCGAACGGUAGUAUUAUCUUCGGAUAAUAUGAGAGUGGCGAACGGGUGAGUAACACGUAAGAAUCUACCUUUAGGACGGGGAUAACUUCUGGAAACGGAUGCUAAUACCCGAUAUGCUGUGGAGUGAAAUGAAUUUCGCCUAAAGAUGAUCUUGCGUCUGAUUAGCUAGAUAGGGUGGUAAUGGCGCCCUAUGGCGACGAUCAGUAGCUGGUCUGAGAGGAUGGACAGCCACAUUGGGACUGAGACACGGCCCAAACUCCUACGGGAGGCAGCAGUGGGGAAUUUUCCGCAAUGGGCGAAAGCCUGACGGAGCGACGCUGCGUGAAGGAUGACGGCCUGAGGGUUGUAAACUUCUUUUCUCGAAGAAGAAUCAAUGACGGUAUUCGAGGAAUAAGCAUCGGCUAACUCUGUGCCAGCAGCCGCGGUAAGACAGAGGAUGCAAGUGUUAUUCGGAUUGAUUGGGCGUAAAGCGUCUGUAGGCGGUUUAGAAAGUCUUUUG
rnacentral:rRNA from 1 species